rnacentral:rRNA from 1 species
GAUCAAGCGACUAAGUGCAUGUGGUGGAUGCCUUGGCGAUCACAGGCGAUGAAGGACGUAGUAGCCUGCGAUAAGCUGCGGGGAGCUGGCAAACAAGCUUUGAUCCGCAGAUUUCCGAAUGGGGAAACCCACCGCUUCGGCGGUAUCGUUAACUGAAUCCAUAGGUUAACGAGGCGAACCGGGUGAACUGAAACAUCUCAGUAACUCGAGGAAAAGAAAUCAACCGAGAUUCCGAAAGUAGUGGCGAGCGAAAUCGGAAGAGCCUGUACGAGUUAGCUUCGGUGAUAGAAGAACGGUCUGGAAAGUCCGGCCAUAGCAGGUGAUAGCCCUGUAUUCGAAAUCUCUGA